rnacentral:tRNA from 1 species
GUCCCGAUGGUGUAACGGACAGCACAAGACUCUCCUAAGGUCUUGGACCAGGUUCGAUUCCUGGACGGGCUA